rnacentral:rRNA from 1 species
UACGGGGGGAGCAAGCGUUGUUCGGAUUUACUGGGCGUAAAGGGCGCGUAGGCGGCCAGCACAAGUCAGUUGUGAAAUCUCCGAGCUUAACUCGGAAAGGUCAACUGAUACUGUGCGGCUAGAGUGCAGAAGGGGCAACUGGAAUUCUUGGUGUAGCGGUGAAAUGUGUAGAGAUCGGGAGGAACACCGGUGGCGAAGGCGGCCUUCUGGACGGUGACUGACGCUGAGGCGCGAAAGCGUGGGGAGCAAACGGG